UAUGUGAUCGUCUCUCGCAUAUCAAUAAGCGGAGGAAAAGGAAACUAACAAGGAUUCCCCUAGUAACGGCGAGUGAAGCGGGAAGAGCUCAAAUUUGAAAUCUUAAAGGGUUUCCCUUUACGAAUUGUAGUUUAAAGAAGUGUUUUCUGUUGAGGUUUUGGUAAAAGUUCUUUGGAAUAGGACAUCAUAGAGGGUGAGAAUCCCGUAUUUGACCUUUACUUUCAACUUUGUGAUACACUUUCAAAGAGUCGGAUUGUUUGGGAAUGCAGUCCAAAAUGGGUGGUAAAUUUCAUCUAAAGCUAAAUAUUGGCGAGAGACCGAUAGCGAACAAGUACCGUGAGGGAAAGAUGAAAAGAACUUUGAAAAGAGAGUUAAACAGUACGUGAAAUUGUCAAAAGGGAAGCGUUUGACACCAGUGUUGUUUUUCUGAAAAUCAAUUAAAGAACUGUUUAUGCUAAGCUGUUUAGACUUUAUCAGCUAUCUGUUUAGUUUUGAGCUUUUCUUUAAUGCACUUUUCAGUUAACAAGUCAACAUCAAUUUCUUUUGCUGUAAAAAAGCUUGAGGAAGGUGGCUUGAGAUUCGUCUUAAGUGUUUAUAGCCUCUUGCCUAUGCAGUCGGAGAGAUUGAGGUCUGCAGCGUAGAUCCUUCGGGGCUAAAUGCAUUUGUGCUAAGUUAUAGCAUUUUAUAGACAAUUUGUUGACUAUGAUUUGUCUUGUAGCUUACUCGCUUAUGUUAUUUUACCUACGCUUAGGAUGUUGAUCUACAGAGCGAGAGU
rnacentral:rRNA from 1 species